CUGGCGGCGAGUGGCGAACGGGUGAGUAAUAUAUCGGAACGUACCCANGAGUGGGGGAUAACGUAGCGAAAGUUACGCUAAUACCGCAUACGAUCUAAGGAUGAAAGCAGGGGAUCUUCGGACCUUGUGCUCCUGGAGCGGCCGANAUCUGAUUAGCUAGUUGGUGAGGUAAAGGCUCACCAAGGCCACGAUCAGUAGCUGGUCUGAGAGGACGACCAGCCACACUGGAACUGAGACACGGUCCAGACUCCUACGGGAGGCAGCAGUGGGGAAUUUUGGACAAUGGGCGAAAGCCUGAUCCAGCAAUGCCGCGUGAGUGAAGAAGGCCUUCGGGUUGUAAAGCUCUUUGUCAGGGAAGAAACGGUGAGGGCUAAUAUCCCUCGCUAAUGACGGUACCUGAAGAAUAAGCACCGGCUAACUACGUGCCAGCAGCCGCGGUAAUACGUAGGGUGCAAGCGUUAAUCGGAAUUACUGGGCGUAAAGCGUGCGCAGGCGGUUUUGUAAGUCUGACGUGAAAUCCCCGGGCUCAACCUGGGAAUUGCGUUGGAGACUGCAAGGCUAGAAUCUGGCAGAGGGGGGUAGAAUUCCACGUGUAGCAGUGAAAUGCGUAGAGAUGUGGAGGAACACCGAUGGCGAAGGCAGCCCCCUGGGUCAAGACUGACGCUCAUGCACGAAAGCGUGGGGAGCAAACAGGAUUAGAUACCCUGGUAGUCCACGCCCUAAACGAUGUCUACUAGUUGUCGGGUUUUAAUUAACUUGGUAACGCAGCUAACGCGUGAAGUAGACCGCCUGGGGAGUACGGUCGCAAGAUUAAAACUCAAAGGANUUGACGGGGACCCGCACAAGCGGUGGAUGAUGUGGAUUAAUUCGAUGCAACGCGAAAAACCUUACCUACCCUUGACAUGUCAGGAANACCGAAGA
rnacentral:rRNA from 1 species